AUUGAACGCUGGCGGCAGGCCUAACACAUGCAAGUCGAGCGGAGCGGCGGACGGGUGAGUAAUGCCUAGGAAUCUGCCUGGCAGUGGGGGAUAACGUCCGGAAACGGGCGCUAAUACCGCAUACUAUCAGAUGAGCCUAGGUCGGAUUAGCUAGUGGGUGGGGUAAAGGCCUCCCAAGGCGACGAUCCGUAACUGGUCUGAGAGGAUGAUCAGCAAAACUGGAACGUAGACCCGGUCCCGACUCCUCCGUGAGGCAGCAGUGGGGAAUAUUGGACAAUGGGCGAAAGCCUGAUCCAGCCAUGCCGCGGGUGUGAAGAAGGUCUUCGGAUUGUAAAGCUCUUUAAGUUGGGAGGCGUUACCAACAGAAUAAGUACCGGCUAACUUCGUGCCAGCAGCCGCGGUAAUAC
rnacentral:rRNA from 1 species